ensembl:lncRNA
CAAAACACAAGGUAGAAAGUGUACUAAAAAGUGUUUGUACGACUCAUUAACACUAUGAUUAUAUUCAUCCUUAUUCUUUCUGCUGUGUCAAGAAAGGCAAUACUCCAAACAACAGCCCUGGACAUUUUUCCAGCCAAGAUCUUUCGGACUGCAGGAACAAUAAUGGAGGGUAGUGACCUGGAGUUAAAAUGUAGUACACAUGGACGCAAAGAUGAACAAAAAAUUGUACAUGUUUAUUUGUGCAAGAAUGGUGUUGCUGUGGAAAAAAUCAUGAAUAGAAAAGAUGAUACUAUUUUCACCCUGAGAAAUAUCGACAGACAACAGAGUGGUAAUUACAGCUGUGUGUUCUCUAAUAUCUUGUACACACUCUCUGAAGUCCGAGAGAAAGGGGACAAUUCCAUUUACAUCCAGGUGAUCGAUCGGAUUCUCCCUGCAGUCAUAUCAAUUACAGGCUCAAACUCAGCAAAACAGGGAGAUGUUGUGGAGUUUAAGUGUACUAUUUCAGACCCCAUACAUACCAGUGAAUUAGUUCACUCUUACCUCUGCAUGAAUGGAACUCAUGUUCAGGUGCAGGUUUUUGAUGUUUAUAGAAUGGAGGCAACUUUUACUAUUAAGGAUGUUAAACUGAAUGACAGAGGGAACUACAGCUGUGUGCUUGACCUGCAACCAAAACGCAAUGAAUUUACAGAGAGGCAAUUAUAUGGAAGCAAUACAGCAUUUCUUCAGGUUGAUGGUAAGCCUGUAUACAUCAUUAACUCUACCUAUUUGAAUCAUAUAGUCAGUGCUUUUAUUGUUUCCUAAUUAGAACAUAAUUGUUGAAGGUGCAUGUUUACUUUUUAUUAAGAUGUAUAACAUGUCUGUUUUGCUUUCCAGUGUGGAGUUAUCAAAUCCCAGUGGUCAUGUUCUGUGUCUGUCUUCUGCUGGUCUUUUUACUGAUUGUGGGCAUUUACUGGCUGAUCAGAAAACAAGGGGUUGGGAAUCUGUGUUGUAGAAGAACACCACCAAAUGAUGUUCAAUUAUCAGAUGAAAGGGAAAGUAACAUUUCAAACAUGGAGGAAGAAUCCUGUGAUGAAUUUGACAGUUUGUCAGAGGAAGAUAUCUCAUACCAAAAUGUUCCGGAUUUAACACAGACCAAUGAUAUGAUAGAAGAUCCAGGACAAGAGGCUGAUGACACAUACCAAGAUAUUUUGGAUUUUACCAGGAUCAAGCAUACAGUUGAAGUUCCAUGUCAAGGUUUUAAUCAAGGGGCAGGCUUCCCUCCCCCACAUUAAACCAAGGACCUUGUGGGUAACCUUAAAAACUCUAAGGGACACAAAAGCAUCUGAACAGAGAACAGAUGAACUGAUGGUUUAAACUGAUCGACAAUUAAUGGAUAACCCAAUGAUCUUCUGGGACUUCCAGUUCGGACACCUACCGCUGGAAUGAAACGUAAUCUAGAAGAUGUUGGAGGAUCAUCCGGUUUGGUAACCAUAAGAAUAAGGCAGAAAAUAUUAAUAAAAUAAAAUGUUAUGUUUUUGUAUCCCUUGUGUCCAUUUUCAAUUGCAUUUUAUAUUUACAAUGUGUUUUGUUCCAAAAAAAGACACAACUUCUAAAGUGUUUCAUGGGCUAAAAUAAAACAUUCCAGAAUUGUUCCAUACACAAAAAAAAUAUUUCUUUUAAAUGUACCUCAGUGGCCUACUAGAGCUUAAAUGUGACCAACUACCCAUCUUUUUUUUUACCACCACAUCACUGAUAUUAAAACAGAAUUUGAUUUCUAUAAUUCAUUUGACUGUUAUACAAUAAUCUCUGUACUCCAUUGUUGUUUGUCAGUGCAGAGUUUGAUUAGAUACGC